CUACGGGCUGCAGCAGUGAGGAAUAUUGCACAAUGGGGGGAACCCUGAUGCAGCAACGCCGCGUGGAGGAUGACGCAUUUCGGUGUGUAAACUCCUUUUAUAUGUCAAGAAAAUGACGGUAGCAUAUGAAUAAGCACCGGCUAACUCCGUGCCAGCAGCCGCGGUAAUAGGAGGGUGCAAGCGUUACUCGGAAUCACUGGGCGUAAAGGACGCGUAGGCGGGCUUGUAAGUCAGGUGUGAAAUCCUACAGCUUAACUGUAGAACUGCACUUGAAACUACGAGCCUAGAGUAUGGGAGGGGGAGAUGGAAUUAGUGGUGUAGGGGUAAAAUCCGUAGAUAUCACUAGGAAUACCUAAAGCGAAGGCGAUCUCCUGGAACAUAACUGACGCUAAGGCGUGAAAGCGUGGGGAGCAAACAGGAUUAGAUACCCCUGUAGUC
rnacentral:rRNA from 1 species